rnacentral:rRNA from 1 species
CCUGCGGAGGAUCAUUAAUGAAUUCACUAUGGAGUUGUUGCUGGCCUCUAGGGGCAUGUGCACGCUUCACUAGUCUUUCAACCACCUGUGAACUUUUGAUAGAUCUGUGAAGUCGUCUUUCAAGUCGUCAGACUUGGUUUGCUGGGAUUUAAACGUCUCGGUGUGACAACGCAGUCUAUUUACUUAACACACCCCAAAUGUAUGUCUACGAAUGUCAUUUAAUGGGCCUUGUGCCUAUAAACCAUAAUACAACUUUCAACAACGGAUCUCUUGGCUCUCGCAUCGAUGAAGAACGCAGCGAAAUGCGAUAAGUAAUGUGAAUUGCAGAAUUCAGUGAAUCAUCGAAUCUUUGAACGCACCUUGCGCCCCUUGGUAUUCCGAGGGGCAUGCCUGUUUGAGUGUCAUUAAAUUCUCAAACUCACUUUGGUUUUUUCCAAUUGUGAUGUUUGGAUUGUUGGGGGCUGCUGGCCUUGACAGGUCGGCUCCUCUUAAAUGCAUUAGCAGGACUUCUCAUUGCCUCUGCGCAUGAUGUGAUAAUUAUCACUCAUCAAUAGCACGCAUGAAUAGAGUCCAGCUCUCUAAUCGUCCGCAAGGACAAUUUGACAAUUUGACCUC